rnacentral:rRNA from 1 species
GACGAACGCUGGCGGCGUGCUUAACACAUGCAAGUCGAGCGGUAAGGCCCUUUCGGGGGUACACGAGCGGCGAACGGGUGAGUAACACGUGGGUGACCUGCCCUCAGCUCUGGGAUAAGCCCUGGGAAACCGGGUCUAAUACUGGAUAUGACUCCAUGACGCAUGGUUGUGGGGUGGAAAGCCUUGUGCGGCUGAGGAUGGGCCCGCGGCCUAUCAGCUUGUUGGUGGGGUGAUGGCCUACCAAGGCGACGACGGGUAGCCGGCCUGAGAGGGCGACCGGCCACACU